AACAUUGUGGAUGUGUAAUGUGUUGAAUGAUUUCUUAUACAUUUGUUAUCAGAAAUACUAUUAUUUCUUCUAAUAAAAUGCUUCUAAAAUGAAAAUACUAAAUGGAGAAGCCAAUAAAGUAAUAGCCUUGCCUCAUAACUUAUUAGGUGUAAGACUUUGUGAAUAUUUUAGUAUUUUUUAGGUGUAAAAUCAUAGCUAGAUUUUAGUUUAACCUAAUGUUAGCUUUUCUCACUUAGUAACUUUAUAAACUAUGUUAAACUCUGGGAAUCUUAUCAAUUUGAUCAUCUAUCAAUCAUUUAUAAUUGCUCUCAGAUUUCGUGGAAAACUUGAACAUGCCCAAUAUGAUUUUCCUAUCUUAUAUGUUAUGAAAGGAUUAUUCAGUUUCCUAAUAUAAAGUAGCCUUUAAAAACAGCAAGAGCUCUAUACCAUGUAGACAUGUAGUGGUCAUAACUAUUGAGAACAGAACUACAUGAAGCUUGGUUUGUAUACUCCAUCAAUUCAAGUUUUAUUAACAAGGAAUAAGACAAAGUUUUUGUACCAUGAAGAAGAUCUCAUAGCAGGACAGGUAUACACUGCAGUCACUUAUCUCCAUGAAGUCACAAUAUCACAUCUGCUUAUCACAUCCACUACAUUUGCAAAAAGGCAUUACAUCAAAACUGGUAUAUGAGAUGUAACCUCACUGAGAGUCUCACCAAGCCCAAAAAAUUUUGAACACCAUACAUGGGAGGGAGGAAGCCAGGACCAGAUCAAACAGAAACUGCUUGCAUUAAGACCUGUAACCACCCUGGUGAUGUAGCUGAACCCAAAGAAAGAUCAAAGCACGAGUAUUAGAGUUUAGAGAUAAGCCUGCAAAAGGCUUAAUUGUUCUAAGGCAAGGAAGCAAUGUAAACCAUAAUUGUAACUAUGCAGUUAUGAACCACAAUUUUGAAGAGAAGGACAGAAAAACAGGCAGAAGAACAGAAUUAAAGAACAGGAUAGAGUUUUUAACUCAUAAUAGAAGGCUUGACAAUCCUUACAAAAGGGGUGAAGAUGUUCCAGAAAUUGUCCUUUAUGAAGAUAAUUUGUGGAAGGAGUGAGUUUUUUUUGUUUCUGGAGAAAAUUUGGGCAGAAAGUGUAGAAUAAGAGAAGGACCAGCAAAAGCACAAAAGUCACAGAAGGAAGUCUAGUAAGAUGUUCAGUUAUAGGGCUGGGGAUGUAGGUCAGUUGGUAGAGUGCUUGCCUCACAUGCACAAGGCCCUGGGUUCAAUCCCCAGUACCACCAAAAAAGGAAAAAGAUCCUCAGUUACUAAUUUUUAUUGUGUUUAUCAUGAUGUCAUGUAGAAUUAUUAUUCAUAUUAUUAAAAUCAGGAAUUGAACCCACAGGUGCUUAACUACUGAGCCAAACCCCAGCUUUUUUUCUUUGAUACUGAAUCUUGCAGAAUUUCUGAGACUGGUUUUGAGCUUGCAAUUCUCAUGCCUUAUCCCCUAGAGCCAACCAAUAUUACAGGCAUUCGCCACCAUAUCCAGCUUAAAAUUUUAUUAACUGAUUUUGUUUUUAUAUAUCAGGACUUCAUCUGACAAUGAUUGUAUUUUCUUUUACUAAUGUUUGAACUCACUCUUUUUGUAAAUAUUAUAUCAUCUUGGCAUGAGUGGAAUGACUCUACAGUUCUUGAAGUGACUCCCUAAGUAUGGUCAAGCAUAAUAUCAAAUCUUUGAUAUUGUUCCUUAAGAAAUUUGGAAAAGAAUGUGGCACAUUAAGUGAAUAUUUUAAUAAAAU
rnacentral:lncRNA from 1 species